rnacentral:rRNA from 1 species
GAUGAACGCUGGCGGCGUGCCUAAUACAUGCAAGUCGAGCGAACAGACGAGGAGCUUGCUCCUCUGACGUUAGCGGCGGACGGGUGAGUAACACGUGGAUAACCUACCUAUAAGACUGGGAUAACUUCGGGAAACCGGAGCUAAUACCGGAUCAUAUAUUGAACCGCAUGGUUCAAUAGUGAAAGACGGUUUUGCUGUCACUUAUAGAUGGAUCCGCGCCGCAUUAGCUAGUUGGUAAGGUAACGGCUUACCAAGGCAACGAUGCGUAGCCGACCUGAGAGGGUGAUCGGCCACACUGGAACUGAGACACGGUCCAGACUCCUACGGGAGGCAGCAGUGGGGAAUCUUCCGCAAUGGGCGAAAGCUUGACGGAGCAACGCCGCGUGAGUGAUGAAGGUCUUCGGAUCGUAAAACUCUGUUAUUAGGGAAGAACAAAUGUGUAAGUAACUAUGCACGUCUUGACGGUACCUAAUCAGAAAGCCACGGCUAACUACGUA